GAUGAACGCUGGCGGCGUGCUUAACACAUGCAAGUCGAACGGAACGCCAAGGAAGAGUUUCGACGAAUGGAAUGGUGUUAGUGGCGACGGUGAGUAACGCGUGAGUAACCUGCCUUGGAGUGGGGAAUAACACAGUGAAAAUUGUGCUAAUACCGCAUGAUAUAUUGGUGUCGCAUGGCACUGAUAUCAAAGAUUUAUCGCUCUGAGAUGGACUCGCGUCUGAUUAGAUAGUUGGCGGGUAACGGCCCACCAAGUCGACGAUCAGUAGCCGGACUGAGA
rnacentral:rRNA from 1 species